ACAUAUCUGUUUUAUAUUUUUCUAUUUGUAUUUACUGAUAUCUCAUGACAAGUUAAAAAAUUUUAAAAUUUUAACUUUGUCAAUUUUUUAUCCUCUAUAGUAUUAGCCUGCUGCAAUGCACGGAUAAAGAGUGCUUCAUUAAUCACCCUAAUUAGAUAACUGACCUAUGUGAUUUUCUAAAUUAUCAACUACUAUUUCUUUUACCUUAUUUCUAUAGUUUCUUUUCUCAAUUAUUUCUCUUCCCAUCAAUUUCUUUUAUUCAUUAAUUUGUUGUUAAUUCUCCAUAUUAAUCACCCUAAUUAAACUUUUAAAUUUAAUUUUAGA
rnacentral:lncRNA from 1 species